AACUAUAAAAUACUUAGGAAUAAAUUUAAACAAAGAAGUACUGCAAUAAUGCUAGCAGAGUACACACAAGAAGAAAAGUAACUGCACUAGAUUGUAAAGACUGGGGUGGACCUCUUUCUUAAAGUCCAGUGUCCUUUGUCUUAAGAUUUGGUGCAAUAUGU
ensembl:snoRNA